GUAAAUGCACAGAUAAGGACAACAAUGAUUAGUGCGACUUUCAGAGAGGAAUACAGUGGUGCGAGUAUUCUAGUGACGGCUAAUGAUUUACCACCUUGGAGCAGCGACAGUGAACGAAUAGUAAUUGUCGACGGUAGCGGCCCGUUAGCCGAUCGAGAGCUUCGUCUUUGCAGGUUUUUUUCUGCAUGGAAGGAAGAAGGGUGGAACCACGAGCGCAAGCAUCGUCCCUUUA
rnacentral:ncRNA from 1 species